CGAAGGCCCGAAACACCACACGGCAGCUCCUCCUCCGCCCAAACAAACAGCCUCACCCUGCAGAGCCUCCAUCUUCACCUCCACCUGCAGUUUGCUCGUCUUCAGCUCAUUCACCGGACCUGCAGAACCUCAGCAGAACCUGGCGGUCUCUCGGUGUUUGUGUGUUUCUGAUCUGGAGUCAGUGAGGUCCUUCAGGUGUGUCUGCAGAUCCUUCAGUGGACCCGCCGACUUCCUGUUCGCUCUCUUUGUUCCUGAACGUCCUUGGAUCGCAGUGUGAUGUCUGACUUUUGAGGAUCUUCUGGUCUGCUCCACUUUGUCAGGCAGGUCUUUGAACAGGUGUGG
ensembl:lncRNA